rnacentral:rRNA from 1 species
GUCCACGCCCUAAACGAUGUCAACUGGUUGUUGGACGGCUUGCUGUUCAGUAACGAAGCUAACGCGUGAAGUUGACCGCCUGGGGAGUACGGCCGCAAGGUUGAAACUCAAAGGAAUUGACGGGACCCGCACAAGCGGUGGAUGAUGUGGUUUAAUUCGAUGCAACGCGAAACCUUACCUACCCUUGACAUGUCAGGAAUCUUGCAGAGAUGCGAGAGUGCUCGAAAGAGAGCAUGGACACAGGUGCUGCAUGGCCGUCGU